rnacentral:lncRNA from 1 species
UUGUGCCCUGUGAUGUAUUAUAUGAAAUGCUCAAUGCACACGAUUAGUCCGCAGAGGUGUUGUCAUCAAUCACCAAAACUACUUAGAACAAAAUAUGCCCUAACAAAGAUGAGUAUAAGAUUUGGCUUACAGUCGCCACAUGCUAAAUUACAAUCCACACAAGCAUUCAUUAUUCAUACAUAAAACAAGGUCCUACUACGGACAAGAUAAACGACAAAACAUGUUAUCCCAUCAUGCUAGUCCCAUGAUCACGACCAUGCGCCUCUAGUCCUCGAGAUAAGUCACAUACAACCUGCCACUGUCUUCGUUGAACUCCCAUCUCAGCUGAUUAUCAUUGGGAACUCCUGCAUCUGUGGUACAUGUACCUUUGGGUGUUUGUAGUCAAAUGUGAGCCACGAGGACUGUCACACCCUGUUUUCACUUCCAUCUUUC